AGAGUUUGAUCCUGGCUCAGGAUGAACGCUAGCGGCAGGCUUAACACAUGCAAGUCGAGGGGUAGGAGAAGCUUGCUUUUCUGAGACCGGCGCACGGGUGCGUAACGCGUAUGCAAUCUACCUUUCACAAAGGGAUAGCCCAGAGAAAUUUGGAUUAAUACCUUAUAGUAUAUCGAGUUGGCAUCAACAUGAUAUUAAAGAUUUAUCGGUGAAAGAUGAGCAUGCGUCCCAUUAGCUAGUUGGUAUGGUAACGGCAUACCAAGGCUACGAUGGGUAGGGGUCCUGAGAGGGUGAUCCCCCACACUGGUACUGAGACACGGACCAGACUCCUACGGGAGGCAGCAGUGAGGAAUAUUGGACAAUGGGCGCAAGCCUGAUCCAGCCAUGCCGCGUGCAGGAUGACGGUCCUAUGGAUUGUAAACUGCUUUUAUACAGGAAGAAACACCUCUACGUGUAGAGACUUGACGGUACUGUAAGAAUAAGGAUCGGCUAACUCCGUGCCAGCAGCCGCGGUAAUACGGAGGAUCCAAGCGUUAUCCGGAAUCAUUGGGUUUAAAGGGUCCGUAGGCGGUCAAGUAAGUCAGUGGUGAAAGCCCAUCGCUCAACGGUGGAACGGCCAUUGAUACUGCUUGACUUGAAUUAUUAGGAAGUAACUAGAAUAUGUAGUGUAGCGGUGAAAUGCUUAGAGAUUACAUGGAAUACCAAUUGCGAAGGCAGGUUACUACUAAUGGAUUGACGCUGAUGGACGAAAGCGUGGGUAGCGAACAGGAUUAGAUACCCUGGUAGUCG
rnacentral:rRNA from 1 species